AAGUCGUAGGUGAACCUGCGGAAGGAUCAUUAUCAACGUUAUCCACGUUAACCAACUGUGAACUUGUUUGCUCCCUUCGGGUUUGAGCAACCCUGUAUUUGGAUAAUUAUAAUUAUCCUUUUACAGGUGGUUUUUAACUAAACCAAUUUAUCAUUAACCAAUUGAACCCUUUGCUAAUACACUUAUGUGCUUAUUUAUGUGUUUCUUUACCCGUUUCAGGGAAAGAAAUCAAUAAUAUACGAAACAUAAGAACAACUCUCUUAGCAACGGAUAUCUUGGUUCUC
rnacentral:misc_RNA from 1 species